CUUAUUUAAAGAACAGAAUUCUGAGUAUUCACUAUCAAAGUCAGAUCUUCACAACAUAGGUAUGUGGAAGUGUGCAUGGCUCAAACAAAGAGAUUUGUGAGGACUUCCGAAAAACAGUGAUUGAUACUCACCAGGCUGAAAAAGGUUAGAAAACUAUUUCCAAAGAAUUUUGGAAUCCAAUCAUAUUUACGCAGAAGGACAGAAAAUUCAAAAAGCUUUACAAACUUUUAAGCAUACCACCAAAAGGAUAUCAGGAAUUAGCUUCUUAGCAGUCUCCAUGGCUUUACAAGUCUCAACUCACAAGUUGCUAUUCUAAAAUGCAAAUAUGUAUGCAAGCGCAGGCUAAUUUUAACUAAGGUGGUAUCUGAUUAGCAUUUAGAAACAUUGGGAUGCAUAAAUAAUGCUGUUAGAAAUCUUCAUGCUAUUAUGUCACCUAUGUUUCUUAACCUGGAAAAAACUUGUCUAUACUAUAUAUCUAGGUUUACUAUUGUUAGACCAAAAAAAAGAAAGGAAUAACUGUUUUUGUAGAAAGCAAUCUCUCAAAUAAAGAUUGGCUUGUAUCAUUCACUUUUGAUGCCACACAAAACAUUAAAGUCAGUGCACUUGUAAAAGGGAAUGCACUUUGAUUUAUAGUUUUUUAUUUGCAGUAUCAGUUAUACAUAUUCAGGGAUCUUUUAAAAUGUAUCUCUUUAGCCUUCUCUAUUUACUACACGUCAGUGUGAUUUGAAGCCAUUGCAGCACAUUUCAGAUUCAUACGAACUCAUGAAGGGAAGUAUUGCUAAAAGUAAAGUUCUGUUGCUUUGAAGACAUGCAUUUUUCCUGUUCAAUAUAUCCUACUGCAAAAAUGUUUAGGAGGAUACAAGUGCUGUGAAUCACUCAGCCAUAAGAAUUACUGAUAUUAGAUAGAUCACCCCAAAAAUAGCAGUUAUCUAAGAAAGCCUGUAGAAGUUUAUGUUGGCAGAUCUCAAAAUACAAGAAUAACUCUUGGUGGAAGAUGAAAUUGAGAAUACACCUAAGUAGCUGACAGAAUACCUCCAGGAAAUGUCAGAAGUAUUCUGGACACUUGUUAUAUUUGUGGCAGAACUUUUAAAUAAGCAAGGAACAUAGCAAAAUAUAACCUAUGUGAAAUAGAAACCAUUUUCAUGCCAAAUAAAGGAAAGUAACCUAAAACGUAAACAUACUCAUGAUCUUGUUCAUACACCUGGGCAUUUAUUGAGAGAGAGAAGAGUGAGACGCACAUAAAUGCCAGGUAGGAGAAAUUAUACAUAAUUCAUUCAGUUAUUUCCUCAGUGCAAGCUGCUAAGAUAUAUCCUACAAGUCAUAAAUAUGCUGAAUUGCAGGUUAAUUCAAUAGAUAGCCCAAAUCAACUAUCCUAAAUAGUGGGGUAUGAUCAUUAUCACAUAAUAAAUGGUGAUGCGAUUCAGUCAGUUACACCCACCCCACUUCCCAUAUAGUAGCUUUACUCACUAGCAUUCAAAUAGAGGGCUGAUGCAGUGUUGGAACAUUUUGCUUACGUGUACUAAAAAUUAUCUGUUAGUUUAUGUUUUCCCUCUACAUUAUGUUUUGAAAGCAACCAUUUUUCUUAAUAAGUCCAGGAUGUGCUAUGCAAUUAUAUAAAAUAAAUCAUGACCUAAACCUUUUCACCAUUUAUUGUAUAAGUGUAUAUCUGCUCAGAAUUGACCAUCAAGCAUAAUUUUAUACAUGCCAAGCUAGAAGAAAAACUUUUUUUUUCUUCCAAGGCAGAGUGUGUUAUGAUUUGGAAAAUAUGUGUUCCAAUGCUGAUGUUCAAACUGACAUUGUAUUCUGCAACUUAUCAUUUCAAAAUAUUGCCUCACCCAAGAGUGCAAUCCUGUAAAUACUUACUUGGUAGUAUAUUUCAUUGAACUCUGAAAUUUCCUUCCAAGUCAAAAUACAUGGAUGUAUUAUACAAACAACAGAAUUUCAUAUUAAAUAAGAUUAUUUUAGAAAUUGUACCAGACAUAUGUGUGGUAGUAUUUUAUUGCUUAUUAAAACAAAACCAUGUAUUUGAUUAUAUUUAAAUAUAUAUUGUACGUUUAUAUCCUUUCUGUAAUAUGUGAUUUCAAAGGAACAAGAUAUUUUAUUUGCAGUUUUAAAUCCACUAUGUUAGUUCUAAAAAGCAAAAUGUGGUAUUUAGGAGUAUAGAAAUAUGUAUACAUAUAUGAAAAAUUGAAUAAUUUAAGAAGCAAUUGUCCAUUUUUUCUACUUCCUGAUUUAAAACAGGUCUGGAAUCAUUGUCAUUUAUUGUCAAAUUAUGCACUUUGGAAUAUCAUUAAGAAAGAAUAAUCCACUUUUAAAUAAUCCAUCUGGAUUAGCUCUCAGUAUUUAUACUUGCUUCUCAAAAGCUAUUCUUUAUGCUUAUUUAUUAUUAUAAACACAAACAACACAUUUACAAGCCAAGUUUUCACAGUUCAUCUCUGCACUUUCAUUAUUUUAUGUGAAGAUCAAAAAGGAUUAUGUCAGCAUUUAAAAUAACAUCAAGGCAAUAUGUUCAGGCAAGCACCAGGAGGCAGAGUUGUAAGAGAAACAAUUAUGAAAGCAAUAUGUUGCACCAUUGCUAUCUACUUCACCUUUGCAAUACCUCAUCACAGUUCCUGCUGUCCCAUUAUUAGACUCUGGGAAAUAUAAUGAGACUGACAGUCAUGAAAAACAUUUCAGCUGUAAGUUUUGUAUACCAUGUAAAUUCAGCCAGUUAUUUCAUACAAACAAUUUUCAUCCUAAUCCAGGUAAACCUCUAUAGUGAAUUGAGUCGUUUUAUCAGUGUAAUUUUUCUCUGUAUUUCUGUCAUUCCAUCAGGUUAACAUCUUGAAAAUCCUAAUAGCUUGAUCUUCUAAAGUUCUAAAUGACAUUCCAAGAGAGAAACAAGACCACUUCUUUAAAUGGUUAUCUCUACCAUGUCCUGGUUGUUGUGGUCCUCAUAUAUUAGUUCUGGAUGUCUGAAGAGUUGCAUGGACUCACUGUUUUUAUGACUUUAAUAUACUUGAAGAAAUUGGAAACUUAUGUUAUUUUUGCUGUUCUUUCUCCAAUUUACAACCAAGCACCUAAAAUCUGAGUGACAAGUGAAGAAAACAACUUCAACUGAUUACUACAAUUGUGUCAUUUGUUUCAGCUUAAAAUGGAUUGUAAUUAGGUUUAAUUGGACCUGUUGUGCAGGAAAGGCUGUUGAUUAUUGUUAUAAAUAUAUAUAUAAUUUCUGGACUCAGUGAGUUUAAGAUUUUUGCAAGCUAUAUAAUGGCUAUGUCAGUAUCAAUGAAAAUUUGUAUUAAUUACAGGAAAGAGGUAAAUAUGUGCUUAUAUACAGAGUUACAUAAAACAAUUCUCUCUGGAGAUUUUUCAUAAGAGAAGCUGUUUGUGUUUUUGUUUUUUUUAAAUGAAAGCUUUGAACUGCCACCAGCAAAGUACUGUAGUAAAAAAGUACUAUAUUAUAAUCUUUCAGUUACUAUAUUUACAUUAUUGGUGUUUUCCCCUCUCUCUGUCCAUGUGAAGUCAUUAUGAUAACUGUCCCCAAUUCUGGUUUUUCAGAGAGUUAAAUUCUGGCAUGGCUUUAGAAAUGAAACAGGAAGAAAAUAUGUCUACUUAGCUUUCUAGCCAUAAAUUUAGUUCUGAACUAGGCCUGAGUUUGCAGGUCAAAGAGUGGAAAUUGGUUAAUUCCAGCUAGGUUACUAAUAAGGGACAAUUAAAAGAAGGGUAUUAAGUCAUAAAAUUGUUCAGCCUGCAGAUGAAAGAGAUAACUUUUUUAGUGCAUGUUAUCUGUCUUGUCAUGGAAAUGUAAGAAUGAUGUAAAUGGUUAUUUCACUUCCAUUUUCAGGGGGCACGCUUUUAGACAUAUCUAUUUAGUCUAUUUAGUCUGGUUAAAUCAGGUUUCUAAAGUGCCAGACAAAUUGAUUCUGCUACAUAAAAUCUCACUUAUUAAUGAAUGCAAUAUGCAGAGAUAUCCCAGGCAAGGUUUUCUUUAGAUGGCUGACUUUGAAGCUUAUUUUUGAAUUACUUCUCUCUUGAAAUAGAUUCAUUGUUGAAAAUGUAAUCCCAUAUGGAAUAUAUUAGAAAACAAGAUAAAUUCUAGAUUUAUGUUUAUAAAAUAAUUUAUUCUGAAGUUAUAUGUACUGUUGGUCAAACUAUUUUCUCUGGCUACCAUAAUCAAAUUGCAAGAUGCCACUGUAUGUAUUUUAUUAUGCAUACAUUAUGGUAAUCCAGUGCUGCAAAUGUAUUAGGGUUAUAAUUCCAGAAUUCCCAGCCAGUGUGACUCAAGAAGGCACCAGUCUGUUAAAGACUACACUAUGAUCAGAGAAUCUCAUAGCCUUAUAUGCUAUGCAAGUAUAAAUUACUAUUAUCACUUUAUGGUAAUUUCACCUAAUUAGUUGUCUAAAAUUUCACAGCCCUUAAAAUGUUGUGCGAGUUAAAGCUGUAUGGAUAGCAAUGCAGCACAGACUAGGGGACAGAAGGGAGCAUGGUAAAGCACCUAUUAGAAGUGGUAAGAGACUUGUACUAAUAGCCCAGAGAUUAUUGGGACAGAUUUAACACAGAGAGACAGAGAGGAUGGGAAUUCUCCUCUCCCUUUAUCCAAGUCAUAGAUUUGCAGAUGUCUUCCUAUGAUGCAACCUGACACCUUCAGCUCCAACAGUUUGUUAACACAGUUAUUGAGGAAAUUUUGAACAAGGGAAACAUUUGUUUUAGGUCUCUGCUCUUAUCCUCUAUUCUCAUGUGAUAAAGAAGGAAGGCUGGUCUAUCUGGGGCUGUCUGCAGAAAAUAUACAGAUGUUUAGUAGCAACAACCUUCACUAUACAAAGUGCUAGUGUUCUGAAACAUAGAAUAGCCUUUAAUGAAAUCCAGAUCCCACUAGUCUUUCUACAAUUUAGCUAAAUUAAAAUGCCCUGCAGUUGCCUCUAAACAGAAACAAAGGAAUAUGAUGUGAAAGGUGAGACGAAUUGGGUCCUCUUUAGCCCUCUAGGAAUUUGAGCACUAGAUAGCAACACAGUAACAAUGGCCCUGUCAUGAGUGGGGAGAUAAGAUCCACUGAGGAGAACUCCUUUCUGUUUUAUCUGUUUUGCAGCUGUGCUGAUGGACUUCUGAAGUAUGCUGAGUGUGUCAAGACUGCACUGUCCCAGCCAUCUGCCUUUGUGAUCCUAAUGCUCUAUUAUUCUACUAGCAAUGAUUCAGAACAUCAUUUCAAAGAAUAAGUUAACCUGUCCUGAGAUAUCUUCCAUACACACACACACACACAUACAUACAUACAAAUAUACAUACAUGCAUACGUAUACACACACACACACUAGAACUCCCCUCAUUCUCAGAUCAGGUUGGGGGAGGCAGGUCUAAAUUAAUGCCACCGAAAGCAAGAUAUCUGAAGUCCUUGGACCAACAAGUGUAAGUGUCUAAGAAAAGCCACAAUUAUGUGACGUUUGUCAUGUCAUCAUGCCUGCAUCAUAAUAAUUACUUGUAUCAUGUGAUGGGACUUGAUGCAAAUAGCAUAAUUCAGGACAUUUGUGCAAUGAAAACAAUGCACACACUUGCCUCCUACCACAGACAACCAUAUAAACUUGCAUUAUUGCAGUCUGUUCAAUGUUUGUAUUAUAAGUCAGGUUGUGAACUUCUGUCUUAAAAUUGCUGGAUAACACUAACGUAUAUUUCAUUUGUGAUGAAACACAAAGCAUACAUCACAGUGAUUGCAUCACAAACAUGCAAUCCUUGACUCUUGCAUAACUUAUAUAUCUCAAAACACAGAAGACUUCUUGCCAGUCAGUCCUGACAAUAGAGGGCUAGUUGGAUCACUUCUGCAUUUGAUCACUUCUGGAUUUGGUCUACCAUGUGCACACCAGCUGAAGUCUAAGCUGCUUCCAAAAGUUUAGACGGUCUAAACCAUAAUUUUAGCAAAAUGGACAGCACUGCUGUCUGUCAAAUGCUUGGCUAAUAUUGACUGAGAGUCAUAAGUCAGGCUUGGAGAACGAUUCAAAGAAAAAUCAGGGAAAAGUCUUGUGAAUAAAAUAAUAAAUGGGGUGUCUGAUCAUGCCUGAGGUUUGAUAUUCCUGACAGGAUAGAUAUGGAUGUUGCCACCUCAACAGGCUGGUUUGUGUUUAUCACUGAAAGAAAUGCAGUUUCAGCAUACGUGCAAGAGGUGAAUGAAAAAUAAGAAUGGAUAGGAUUCUGAUUUUGUUAUAUCUAAAACAGACUCACUGAACUCAGUUGGAGUUAAAUUAUUUGCAUCUAACUCCCACUGAAAUGCAAGGAAUUAAAACUAGGAAUUUGGAAAACAAUUUGUUCCAAAAAUAAGUGGGAAAAAAGUUUGGG